rnacentral:rRNA from 1 species
UUACGGGCGGCAGCAGUGGGGAAUAUUGGACAAUGGGCGAAAGCCUGAUCCAGCAAUGCCGCGUGAGUGAUGAAGGCCUUAGGGUUGUAAAGCUCUUUUACCCGGGAUGAUAAUGACAGUACCGGGAGAAUAAGCUCCGGCUAACUCCGUGCCAGCAGCCGCGGUAAUACGGAGGGAGCUAGCGUUGUUCGGAAUUACUGGGCGUAAAGCGCACGUAGGCGGCUUUGUAAGUUAGAGGUGAAAGCCUGGAGCUCAACUCCAGAAUUGCCUUUAAGACUGCAUCGCUCGAAUCCAGGAGAGGUCAGUGGAAUUCCGAGUGUAGAGGUGAAAUUCGUAGAUAUUCGGAAGAACACCAGUGGCGAAGGCGGCUGACUGGACUGGUAUUGACGCUGAGGUGCGAAAGCGUGGGGAGCAAACAGGAUUAGAUACCCUUGUAGUC